UACGUAGGGUCCGAGCGUUGUCCGGAAUUAUUGGGCGUAAAGGGCUCGUAGGCGGUUCGUCACGUCGGGAGUGAAAACUCGGAGCUUAACUCCGAGCCUGCUUCCGAUACGGGCAGACUAGAGGUAGGCAGGGGAGAGCGGAACUCCUGGUGUAGCGGUGGAAUGCGCAGAUAUCAGGAAGAACACCGGUGGCGAAGGCGGCUCUCUGGGCCUUACCUGACACUGAGAGACGAAAGCUAGGGGAGCGAACAGG
rnacentral:rRNA from 1 species